AGGUCAUAUUUUGUUCAUCGAUUACAAAUCAAAAAUUUAUAAAUCACAAUUUAUUUAUCGAACAUAAAUUAACAAUAUUUAAAUCACACAUUAUUUCUUGUCACAAUUUAUCAAUUUCAUUGAUCACUUAUUGUUUAUUGUUCACGGAUUAACCAACAUAAUUUUCGCAACUAAUCAAAUAUUUGUAACCACUACCAACACCUGUGACCAUCAUCUCACAACUACCUCCAAUAGCAGCACCACCAUCGUCGUUGCCAGAUCCCACCACGUCCCAACAACAACAUCACCACCUCAAACAAAUCAACACAUUGUAGAAAAACAACACCACAUCGUCGUGCCAAAUCUACCACCACCCAAUAGACCUAUCACCACCAACAUCUCACUGCAUAGUACACCACUACCCUACCACUAUUGCAUCGCACCAACACUAUUGCCACAACAAUGAUCACGAACCACACCAAACUUCUACCGUUGACCACCACAAAUCACAACUCCACAGAUCUAUGCGGAGAAAUCAAAUUAUGAAAAAAUGAGAACUUGUUCGCCUCUGCCUCUACCUCAUACCAGCACCACCACCCCUUCUCUACCCCUACUCCAUUUGCAGCAUCACCCACUUGUCCAGAGCCAUCCAGAGAUAAAAUAGCCACCUGUGACUAGAGAUCUAAAACGUUGACCAUCUACCUCAACUUGCAGUGUUGCACGAAAGGUCCAUUAUGAGCAAUUGUUGCGCCAUUGAGCAUGAUUUAGUGAUAUUUUUUGAGGUUAUCUUCCUCCUUCGCUAAGCAACAGACGUCGUGAGCGAUCGCGUGGCUUCACGUCGUGUGAUUGGAUUUUUAAAGGUUUUUUAAAAAUAAAUUAUCAUUCGACGACGAGUGCUUGUGGUGUUGUAUCGGCCAAAGCAGCUUCUUCAUUGCUGGUUGUCAGAGUUUGAAUGGAUAGCCGACAUUUGAAAAGAGAUACAAGAGAGAAAGGAAGAGAGAGAAUGGAGAGAUGUGCAGAGAAGAGGGAAUGAAAAUAAUUAGGGUUG
rnacentral:lncRNA from 1 species